UGGAGGGCGACCAGCGGUGUCCUCGCUGCUCGUGUUUCAUCUGCUCUGCAAUUUGUGUAGAUCAACCUUCAAGCGACGUUUCUUUAUCGAUCUUGUCGAUCUGCGCGUUCUGGUCGGUUGGCUUGGUUCUUUGGUCCGGCCGCUGACUGCUUCUGAAGAUUAUUGGGGGCUGCCUCUUCUGCGAUGAGAGAAAAAAAAGGUCCUGGUUUCUGAGGAUUUUACAAGAAUCAGGUGUGACUGUGCUGUUCUGUCUGCUCCUGUCAAGUGCUGCUGUGCUUUCAUGUGGUUCUGUGUGCCCCUACUUUCCUGCUGCUCUUGUGCUGUGUCCAUGCGCUACGCCCAUCAUUAAGAUGCUGAUCAACCUGCUUUCUGAGAUUCACAAGGAUAGCCGUCAGUGGACCAUAUGUCUUCUUGUUUCCCGCAUGUGGCACUACCGUGGAGGGACCGACGAGGGUCCUAUCAAACACACUGAUAUGGUUCUGAUUGAUGAGCAGGGAAGCCAUAUGUACGGGCAGCUCCCUCCAGCCACCUCUGAGCGCCUCAAGGAUAUGCUGCAAGAGGGGAAGGUUUUUGUUAUCAGGAAAUUCCUGUGCAACCCGUCCAAGACAAAUUUCAGGCCUGUAGAGAGCCCUUCCAUGGUUAAGUUCACUAAGUUUACCAUUGUUGAGGAGAGGCCUGGGUUGGAAGAUGGUUAUCCAUUAUGCACCUACAGCCUGACUUCGUUUGCUGAUAUCCCCGAUCCUAGUGGGCCUCCUACACGCUUCAUUGAUGUUAUUGGAAAGAUCUCUCAUGUUUCGGACUUAGUCGUUGUUCAGUCUAUGUACCAGACAGCAGGUUCUAACACGAGGACAGUUAAACUUACAGACUUGCUGGGUGCUGAACUGAGGAUUAUUCUCUGGGGUGAUCGGACAGUUGAAUUUGAUGCAGACGCGGUUCGUGCCAUGGGUGACAAAGAGCCAGUUAUUGCUAUCUUUGUGGGAACAUUGCCUAAGUCACAUCAUGGUGUUACAUGGUUAAGUGGGAGCUCUGCCUGUCGCUGGUACAUUGACGAGGAUAUACCUGAUGUCAAUUCCUUCCGUGCAAGCUUUGGAGGCCAGUUUACUCCUCUGACUGCCUAUAUCCCCACGGGGCCAGAUGCCCUUCCAACCCAUGUCUAUGCGGAUCCUAUUGAGAUGACCAUGAAAGAGCUCAACGGGGUUGAUCCCUUCGUUGAUAUGGUGAUCCCAUAUUCUUUCAAAACCUCUUCCGUGUGGAUUCUUAUAUAGUUUCACUGUCAUGCUCAUGUUACCUUCUGCGCUGUCUACAAGACAAAAGGUUUAUCUGUUCUAUGACAGUUGACAUAAUAUGUACUGACCAGCGUUGGUGGUUUGCUUCGUGCAAACGAUUUGAAAAGUCUGCUAAGCAUGAUGGCUGCCAAUACCAAUGCUCAGGUGCAACAUGCGACUCUGUUAAAGCUGAUCUAGCGUAUUGUGUUUCUGU